ensembl:lncRNA
GUUUAAACCUAGGGCCACAUUAACUGAGCUUAGCACAUAGCCAUGUCAUCGUAGACUUCCUGAUGUGAGGCGAUGUCUUGACAUAGUUAAAAGGGAGUUUAGGGAUGGGGCAUGAGAUUAAUCAGGUCCUCCUACUGACAGCUUCAAACAAAGAAGCCUUUUAGCCACCUGGUUUGUGUCUCUCACACCUGCAUUCAGAUUGCUGGGACAAAGCUUUGUACCAUCGCCUUGAUCCCCGUUCUUUUCAGUUAAUGUCUCCCAUCUCAGAAAGUGGGAGGAGUCUGCACCGCCUGGGGAAGGCUGCUGAGAAGAAAACAGCCGCAACAUACUAAAAUCAGAGGAAAAUAAGAGGAGACAGUGGCUGGAGGUGCCACAAUUUUGUCUAAGUGGCUGUGAAUGCAUUUUGGAGUGGUUUGCAGUAUCACGAGUCCUUUGCAACAUUCAAAGUGGACAUUGAACAGGAGGAUGUUUAUUUAACAUGGACACCUCAAUAUCUUUCUGCUGCUGCUGCUGCUGAUGCUAAGUCGUUUCAGUCAUGUCUGACUCUGUGCGACCCCAUAGACGGCAGCCCACCAGGCUCCCCCAUCCCUGGGAUUCUCCAGGCAAGAACACUGGAGUGAGUUGCCAUUUCCUUCUCCAAUGCAUGAAAGUGAAAAGUGAAAGUGAAGUCACUCAGUCGUGUUUGACUCUUCACGACCCCAUGAACUGCAGCCUACCAGGCUCCUCCAUCCAUGGGAUUUUCCAGGCAAGAGUACUGGAGUGGGAUGCCAUCGCCUUCUCCAACAUUAUAGUUCUACCCACAUGCAAUUCAGAUAUAUGCAGAUCAUUGUUUAAUAGGUCAUCCUUCUUUAUUUGCUUACAUUUUAGGCCAGUGAAUCACAUAUUUUAAAUUAAAUUUUGUUACCCUGACUUAUACGUAAAAUAUAGAACAAAACUCUUAGUAAAUUUGAUUUCUGCCAUUGUCAUCACUGAAGAGGCAAGUGCUCACUCAGGGUCUUUCCUUAACAAAUAUCUGAGGCAGGUGACGCUGUAAAUAGGCCAUUGGAUGAAGCAUUUGAAAACUUUAAAGUGCUGGUCAGACACAUUUGAACAUCAUUGUUAAGGAGAUGUGACCCCCAUAUAAGGGAAAGUGGACUGGGAGUCAGCUGAUCUGACUUUGGUAGAUUUAUCUAACUUCUUUGAGUAUCAGUUUCCAUCUGUUCUACUUUUAUUUAUUUUUUCACAUUAAUUUGUGAUAGAAAUAAUUUUAAGUCCAGUGGUCUGAAAGUUACUUGGAAGCUGCAGUUUUAUUGUUGUUUUUUUUAAAUUAGCUUUAUUCUCUGGAUAUUUAAAAAAUAUUUAUUUAUUUUAUUUGAC